CCUACGGGAGGCAGCAGUGGGGAAUCUUGCGCAAUGGGCGAAAGCCUGACGCAGCCAUGCCGCGUGUAUGAUGAAGGUCUUAGGAUUGUAAAAUACUUUCACCGGUGAAGAUAAUGACUGUAGCCGGAGAAGAAGCCCCGGCUAACUUCGUGCCAGCAGCCGCGGUAAUACGAAGGGGGCUAGCGUUGCUCGGAAUUACUGGGCGUAAAGGGAGCGUAGGCGGACAUUUAAGUCAGAGGUGAAAUCCCGGAGCUUAACUUCGGAACUGCCUUUGAUACUGGGUGUCUUGAGUGUGAGAGAGGUAUGUGGAACUCCGAGUGUAGAGGUGAAAUUCGUAGAUAUUCGGAAGAACACCAGUGGCGAAGGCGACAUACUGGCUCAUUACUGACGCUGAGGCUCGAAAGCGUGGGGAGCAAACAGGAUUUAGAUACCCAGGUAGUCCACGCCGUAAACGAUGAUUGCUAGUUGUCGGGAAGCUUGCUUCUCGGGUGAACGCNGCUACGCAUAUACACUACGCCGCGGAGGUACGGUCGCGACGAUAAACUUAAACUUAAGUAAGUUAGUACGGCGUGAGACGUAGCGACGACGACGACGAGGGAGGAGG
rnacentral:rRNA from 1 species